GAGUGAAAUAGAACCUGAAACCGUGUGCUUACAAGUAGUCAGAGCCCGUUAAUGGGUGAUGGCGUGCCUUUUGUAGAAUGAACCGGCGAGUUACGAUUUGAUGCAAGGUUAAGCAGUAAAUGUGGAGCCGUAGCGAAAGCGAGUCUGAAUAGGGCGUUUAGUAUUUGGUCGUAGACCCGAAACCAGGUGAUCUACCCUUGGUCAGGUUGAAGUUCAGGUAACACUGAAUGGAGGACCGAACCGACUUACGUUGAAAAGUGAGCGGAUGAACUGAGGGUAGCGGAGAAAUUCCAAUCGAACCUGGAGAUAGCUGGUUCUCUCCGAAAUAGCUUUAGGGCUAGCCUCAAGUGAUGAUUAUUGGAGGUAGAGCACUGUUUGGACGAGGGGCCCCUCUCGGGUUACCGAAUUCAGACAAACUCCGAAUGCCAAUUAAUUUAACUUGGGAGUCAGAACAUGGGUGAUAAGGUCCGUGUUCGAAAGGGAAACAGCCCAGACCACCAGCUAAGGUCCCAAAAUAUAUGUUAAGUGGAAAAGGAUGUGGCGUUGCCCAGACAACUAGGAUGUUGGCUUAGAAGCAGCCAUCAUUUAAAGAGUGCGUAAUAGCUCACUAGUCGAGUGACACUGCGCCGAAAAUGUACCGGGGCUAAACAUAUUACCGAAGCUGUGGAUUGUCCUUUGGACAAUGGUAGGAGAGCGUUCUAAGGGCGUUGAAGCAUGAUCGUAAGGACAUGUGGAGCGCUUAGAAGUGAGAAUGCCGGUGUGAGUAGCGAAAGACGGGUGAGAAUCCCGUCCACCGAUUGACUAAGGUUUCCAGAGGAAGGCUCGUCCGCUCUGGGUUAGUCGGGUCCUAAGCUGAGGCCGACAGGCGUAGGCGAUGGAUAACAGGUUGAUAUUCCUGUACCACCUAUAAUCGUUUUAAUCGAUGGGGGGACGCAGUAGGAUAGGCGAAGCGUGCGAUUGGAUUGCACGUCUAAGCAGUAAGGCUGAGUAUUAGGCAAAUCCGGUACUCGUUAAGGCUGAGCUGUGAUGGGGAGAAGACAUUGAGUCUUCGAGUCGUUGAUUUCACACUGCCGAGAAAAGCCUCUAGAUAGAAAAUAGGUGCCCGUACCGCAAACCGACACAGGUAGUCAAGAUGAGAAUUCUAAGGUGAGCGAGCGAACUCUCGUUAAGGAACUCGGCAAAAUGACCCCGUAACUUCGGGAGAAGGGGUGCUCUUUAGGGUUAACGCCCAGAAGAGCCGCAGUGAAUAGGCCCAAGCGACUGUUUAUCAAAAACACAGGUCUCUGCUAAACCGUAAGGUGAUGUAUAGGGGCUGACGCCUGCCCGGUGCUGGAAGGUUAAGAGGAGUGGUUAGCUUCUGCGAAGCUACGAAUCGAAGCCCCAGUAAACGGCGGCCGUAACUAUAACGGUCCUAAGGUAGCGAAAUUCCUUGUCGGGUAAGUUCCGACCCGCACGAAAGGCGUAACGAUUUGGGCACUGUCUCAACGAGAGACUCGGUGAAAUCAUAGUACCUGUGAAGAUG
rnacentral:rRNA from 1 species